GGUUACAGAGAUAGAAAAAGUGUGUGUGUUUUUUAGAACUUAAAGAUAUAGUUAGAAUGGGUGGUUCAAAAUCAAAAAUGGUGAUAAUGUUUGUUCUGUUAUUAAUAAUAUUAGAAGGUGGGUGGAGUGAAGGAUGUUUGGAUCACGAGAGAUUUGCUCUUUUGCGACUCAAACAUUUCUUCGAUGAUACUGGUAGUUAUCUUUACAACUGGGGAGAUGGUGAGGGAGCUACUGAUUGUUGUCAGUGGGAAAGGGUUGAGUGCAGCAACACCACAGGCCGAGUGAUAGCGCUAGACCUUUUUGGCACGUAUCGGCGAGAGUACAGCUGGUAUUUGAAUGCUUCUUUGUUUACUCCCUUCCAACAACUUGAGUCACUUGAUUUACAUGGCAAAAAUAUAGCUGGUUUUGUUGAGAAUGAAGGUGCUUCGUCUAAUUCAAUUAAAUUACAUUUCGCUCUCCUAAUUUAAGUCGAAUAUCAAGACUGAGCAGCUAUAUGCAUAUUCAUUCAAUUGACAAUUUUUACAUAUUUUUUAAAAUGUUUAAUUUUGAAAUUACACCAAACAUCAUAUGUGAUCUUUGUUUUGAUUUUACUUGCAGGUCUAGAAAGAUUGAGCAACUUGAAGAGGCUUGAUUUAAGUCAUAACUUGUUCAACAAUAGCAUCUUAUCAUCUGUGGCUCAUCUUUCAUCACUAACAUCAUUAGAUUUAUCUGAAAAUAGAUUGGAAGGAAGUAUUAAUGUUAAAGGUACGUAAUUAAAACGUCAUCGCUUUUCCCAACUCUUUCAUUAACAUGUUAAAAUAAGAUUCAAGGCUUUGAAUUCAAUUUUUUUUAUGAGUAAAUAUUAGAAAAAUAGUUUUAAGCAAUUCAUAAAUACAAUUUUCAAUGUUUCUCAUAAUUACUCUAACUGUGAAGCAAAUACCCCAUGACUAAUUUAUCAUUUUGUCCAGUUAAAAAUGAUAAAAUUUAUCAUUUGUUUAUAUUGAUUUAUUAACUCUAUUUUAAGUCUUAAGUCUUGGCGUCUUGGCAUGUUUGCAGAAUUUGAUUCCUUGAGCAACUUAGAGGAGUUGGACAUGAGCUACAAUGAAAUAGACAAUUUCGAGGUUCCUCAAGGUAAACAAUUAAAAUAUUAUUUAAUUACAUUAAUUUAAUUCGUUUGAUUAGGGAAGACCCAAAAUGUACAAAAACAUAAUUAAAAAAAAAUAAAGAAACAGAGAAUUCAUAUUAUUUCAAAAAACAAAAGGUAAUACUAUUAUUUCAAAAAAAGAAUGUAAUAAAGAUUUGAUUCCGGUUCUUUAAUCUUUAUAGCAAUUGAACAACAAUGUUGCUCUUUUCCUAAAGCAUAAAAUAUGAAAUGAGUCAUAAUUGAAUUAGUCAUUUAUUUUGUUUAGAUCUAAAUUUAGACAAUAAAUUUUGAUUUUUUUUUCAAUCCUAUCCUUAUUAUUAUUGUUAAACAGGUUACAGAGGUUUGAGGAAGUUGAAAAGCCUCUAUCUAUCGAAUGUUGGAGUUAGAGAUGGAAGCAAGUUGUUACAGUCUAUGGGAUCAUUCCCAUCCCUCAACACUCUUUACCUGAAGGAUAAUAAUUUUACCGAUAUAGCGACAACUACUACUCAAGGUAAGUAAAAGGUACAUAUGUGGCCAAAUUUAUAAAUAAAUUGUUAAUUAAUUAAUUUUUCCGUAUUAUUAAUAAAGCUAAAUUCGUCGCUCAUUCCUUCUAAUUCUAAACAGAGUUGGCAAUUUCACCAACUUGGAGUAUUUGACAUUGGACUUGUCCUCACUCCAUUUAAGCCUUCUGCAAUUGCUUGAAGAAUGAAUUUAUUUAUUUAUUUAUUAUUAUUAUUAUUGUUGUUGUUGUUGUUGUUGUUGUUGAAGUGAGGUGGGCAAGCGUUCACUCAAUUAAUAUGUGAGGAAUUAAUAAUUACAAUCCAAGGUAGAAUUGUGGAAAAUUAAAGCAAAAUGAGAAAUAUGGAAAGAAAGGAAGAAAGUUAAGGGCAUGAAAGACUAGGAGAAGACUAAAGACCACCAAAUAAGUCAACUGAAAACUAGCUGGGGCCUGGGUGUACAAAUUGUUAGAUGUGUUUGUUAUAAAUAACAUAGAGCCAUCUUGUUGGUUGCAGAGGCAGAGAGACACAGAGUGUGCAUUUUAUUAAUUAAAAAUAUAUAUAAAAUGGGUGGUUCAAAAUCCAAAAUGGUGAUAAUGUUAGUUUUGUUAGUAUUAAUAAUAUUAGAAGGGAGGUGGCGUGAGGGAUGUUUGGUGCAUGAGAGAUUUGGUCUUUCGAGACUUAAAACAUUUCUUCAAUUCUCCUUAUAAUUUUUGUCACGACUGACCGUUGUCAAUAGAAUGGGGCUGGGUGCAGGGUUGAUUUACGUUAGAACAAUAUAGCCGGUAGUGUUGAGAAUGAAGGUGUUUCAUUUAAUUUAAUUAAUUUACUUUCUCCCUCCUAAUUUAAGUGGAAUAUCAAGACAGAACAAUUAUAUGCAUCUUCGUUCAGUUGACAAUUUUGACAUAUUUUUUUAAGUGAUUAAUUUUGAAAUUACACCAAACAUUAUUUGUGAUCUCUGUUUUGACUUUACUUGCAGCGCUAGAGACGUUAUCAAGAUUGAGCAACUUGACGAUACUUGAUUUAAGUUAUAACUUGUUCAAUAAUAGCAUCUUGUCAUUUGUUGCCCGUCUUUCAUCAUUAACAUCAUUAGAUUUAUCUUACAAUGGAUUGGAAGGAAGUAUUAAUGUUAAAGGUACGUAAUUAAAACGUCAUCGCUUCUCCCAACUCUUCCAUUAACAUGCUAAAAUAAGAUUCAAGGCUUUGAAUUCAAUUUUUUUUUAUGAGUAAUAUUAGAAAAAUAGUUUUAAGCAAUUCAUAAAUACAAUUUUCAAUGUUUCUCAUAAUUUCAUCUUGUACUUUUGUAUGUCUUGACUUUAAGAUUAAAAAAAAAUUACUCUAACUGUGAAGCAAAUACCCCAUGACUAAUUUACAAUUUUGUCCAGUUAAAAAUGAUAAAAUUUAGGGAAAUUAUCAUUUGUAUACCCUUAGUUUACUCUAUUAUCAAAAAUACUACAACACUUUGAGGGUGUAUCAAUCGUCCACCCUAAGUUGACAAAAUGUAUUAGCCAACCACCAAACCGUUAGUUGCCGUUUAAAUAUGAUAACAUCAUAAGGGUAAUCUGGUCUUUUCAUAUGAUACAAGUGAUAAUUUAAGGGUAUACAAGUGAUAAAAAGAGAGUUUAAGGGAUACAAGUGAUAAUUUUCAAGGGUAAAAUCGUCAAUUUACUGUAAUUCCAUUAACUUUCAAACGGCAAUUAACAGUUUGGUGGUCGGUUGAUACAUUUCAUCAACUUAGGGUGGACGAUUGAUACACCCUUAAAGUGUUGUAGUAUUUUUGAUAAUAAAGCAAAUAUAGGGUAUACGAAUGAUAAUUUCCCUAAAAUUUAUCAUUUGUUUAUAUUGAUUUAUUAACUCUAUUUUAAGUCUUAAGUCUUAAGUCUUGGCAUGUUUGCAGAAUUUGAUUCCUUGAGCAACUUAGAGGAGUUGGACAUGAGCGGCAAUGAAAUAGACAAUUUCAAGGUUCCUCAAGGUAAACAAUUAAAAUAUUAUUUAAUUACAUUAAUUUAAUUCGUUUGAUUAGGGAAGACCCAAAAUGUACAAAAACAUAAUUAAAAAAAAAUAAAGAAACAGAGAAUUCAUAUUAUUUCAAAAAACAAAAGGUAAUACUAUUAUUUCAAAAAAAGAAUGUAAUAAAGAUUUGAUUCCGGUUCUUUAAUCUUUAUAGCAAUUGAAAAACAAUGUUGCUCUUUUCCUAAAGCAUAAAAUAUGAAAUGAGUCAUAAUUGAAUUAGUCAUUUAUUUUGUUUAGAUCUAAAUUUAGACAAUAAAUUUUGAUUUUUUUUUCAAUUCUAUCCUUAUUAUUAUUGUUAAACAGGUUACAGAGGUUUGAGGAAGUUGAAAAGCCUCUAUCUAUCGAAUGUUGGAGUUAGAGAUGGAAGCAAGUUGUUACAGUCUAUGGGAUCAUUCCCAUCCCUCAACACUCUUUACCUGAAGGAUAAUAAUUUUACCGAUAUAGCGACAACUACUACUCAAGGUAAGUAAAAGGUACAGAUGUGGCCAAAUUUAUAAAUAAACUGUUAAUUAAUUAAUUUUCUGUAUUAUUAAUAAAGCUAAAUUUUUGCUCAUUCCCUCUAAUUCUAAACAGAGUUGCACAAUUUCACCAACUUGGAAUAUUUGACAUUGCACGGUUCCUCUCUCCAUAUAAGCCUUCUGCAAAGCAUUGCAUCAAUAUUCCCUUCGUUAAAAAAUCUGUCGAUAUCUUAUUGUGAAGUCAAUGGUGUCGUACAUGGUCAAGGUAAAAGAAAAGUGUUGGUUGUGCACUCACUGAGUGUUGUCCUACGUAUUCAAUAUUUUUAUUUAUUUAUUUUAUUGUUUAAUGUUUCUGCUAGGUUUUCCUCAUUUCAAGAGUUUGGAACAUUUGGGCAUGAUGUCCACGCGCAUUGCACUCAACACCAACUUUCUUCAAGUCAUCAGUGAAUCGAUGCCUUCUCUUAAGUACUUAUCACUGUCAUAUUCUACUCUUGGCACUAACAGCAGCAGGAUUCUUGAUCGAGGUUAAUCAGAUGCUCCCACCCUCCAUUCUUAAUCUAUAAUAUUAAUUUUCAGUUAAAUAUUUAAUUACACAAACCAAUCACUUAUUAUAAAAGAACAAUACGCAUUCAUUAAUUUUUAUAUUAUAUUAAUUGAUGAAUUUAAUAAAUUCCAGGCCUCUGUUCGCCGGUGCAUCUGCAAGAGUUAUACAUUGGUUCUAACGAUUUAAGAGGUAGCUUGCCUUGGUGCAUGACAAAUUUGACAUCCCUCCGAAUAUUAGAUGUUUCUUCCAAUCAACUUACUGGAAGCAUCUCCUCGUCUCCCCUCAUUCAUUUGACAUCCAUUGAAAAGCUGUAUCUUUCAAACAAUCACUUCCAGAUCCCAAUUUCACUUGAACCACUUUUCAAUCAUUCAAGACUCAAGACUUUUUAUGCUGACAACAACGAACUAAAUGCAGAAAUAACUCAGUCACAUUCUUUGACCGCCCCAAACUUCCAAUUAUCACGUCUCUCAUUGUCUUCCGGUUAUGAAGAUGGCGUCACAUUCCCCAAAUUCCUUUACCAUCAACAUGAUCUGGAGACUGUUGAGCUCUCACAUAUAAAGAUGAAUGGAGAAUUUCCAACUUGGUUGUUGGAAAACAACACAAAAUUGAGACAACUUUCUCUCGUCAAUGAUUCUCUUGGAGGACCUUUCCGGUUGCCAAUUCAUUCACACAAGCGGUUAGGAAUGUUGGAUAUAUCCAACAACAACUUCCGAGGCCACAUUCCAAUAGAAAUUGGAGAUGUUUUACCAAGUCUAUACCUUUUCAACAAUUCCAUGAAUGCUUUAGACGGUAGCAUUCCCUCUUCAUUUGGUAAUAUGAAAUUCCUCCAAAUUCUGGACUUAUCCAACAAUCACUUGACUGGUGAAAUCCCCGAGCACUUGGCCGUUGGUUGCGUCAACUUGCAGUCUCUUGCAUUAUCAAAUAACAACCUACAAGGUCACAUGUUCUCUAGAAAUUUUAACUUGAUAAACUUGAAAUGGUUACAAUUGGAGGGCAAUCGCUUCAUAGGUGAGAUCCCACAAAGUUUGUCUAAAUGCUCCUCACUAGAAGGAUUGUAUCUUAACAAUAAUAGUCUUUCGGGUAAGAUUCCACGAUGGUUGGGUAAUCUCACAUGGUUACAAUAUAUUAUAAUGCCCAAUAAUCAUCUUGAAGGCCCUAUUCCAGUGGAGUUUUGUCAGCUUGAUUUGCUUCAGAUUUUGGACAUUUCAGACAACAACAUAUCUGGAAGUUUACCAUCUUGUUUCCAUCCUCUCUCUAUCAAACAAGUUCAUCUUUCAAAAAAUAUGUUACAUGGACAGCUAAAAAGAGGUACAUUCUUUAAUUGCUCUUCCCUUGUGAUAUUAGAUCUUAGCUAUAAUCGCUUGAAUGGCAGCAUUCCGGAUUGGGUUGAUGGGCUUUCUCAGUUAAGCCACCUUAUCUUAGGUCAUAAUAAUCUUGAAGGUGAAGUGCUAGUUCAAUUGUGCGAAUUGAACCAACUACAAUUGUUAGAUCUUUCUAAUAAUAAUCUUCACGGUCCUAUUCCUCCUUGCUUUGAUAACACCACACUUUAUGAAAGUUACAGCAAUAGUUCUAGUCUUGAUGAGCAAUUUGAAAUAUUUUUUUCCAUCGAAAGCCCUCAGGGAAAUGUAGAAAAGCAAAUCCAUGAAAUUUUUGAGUUCACAACAAAGAACAUUGUGUACAUUUACCAAGGAAAAGUGCUUAGCCUCCUAUCAGGACUUGAUCUUUCUUGCAACAAGCUAAUUGGUCCUAUUCCUCCUCAAAUUGGAAAUUUGACAAGGAUUCAAACAUUGAAUCUAUCACACAACGACUUGAUAGGAUUGAUCCCAUCAACAUUUUCAAACUUGAAGCAUGUCGAAAGUUUGGAUCUUUCCAACAACAAAUUGAAUGGGAAAAUCCCUCAUCAACUAGUGGAGUUAAAGACAUUGGAGGUUUUCAGUGUGGCAUACAAUAACUUAUCAGGCGAAAUUCCAGAAUGGACUGCACAAUUUGCAACCUUCAAUGAGAGUAGCUAUGAGGGAAAUACUUUUCUUUGUGGAUUGCCAUUGCCCAUUUGCAGAUCACCAGCAACUAUGUCGGAGGCUUCAAUUGGCAAUGAACGAGAUGAUAAUUUAAUUGACAUGGACAAUUUCUUUAUCACAUUUACAACAUCGUACGUAAUUGUGAUAUUUGCAAUUGUUAUUAUUUUAUAUGUAAAUUCUUAUUGGCGACGUAGAUGGUUUUACUUUGUUGAAAUGUGGAUAACUUCAUCUUACUAUUUUGUUGUAGACAAUCUUAUUCCAACAAGAUUUUAUCAUUGAAAUUAAUUAGUAGUUUAAUUACGAUUCUUUAAGUACUAAUCAAGUUUGUUUAGGAAAUAUUUUUUUAUUAAAAUUGUAGUAGUAUUUAGCAUUAUAUAGCUUCCAACUUCCAAGCACUUCACAUUUGUCUCUACACUUAAAAAACUGAGUGAUCAUGUUUUGCAGAUCUGGAUUUGGAGCAGGAUGGAUCCAAACCCAUAUCUGUCCACCGUAACUUAUAGCUUCCCUAUACUGUGCAGCAUACUUAAAUAAGAGAACCAUCUCCAAUGUUAAAAGCAUUCACUCUAUAACAUUCAUUUAGAAACUAUAUUCAGAAUAAUUUUAUAAUUAAACACAAGAAAUGAAACACACAGAUACACUUGAUCGCCUAUUUUACUCUAAAAAAGAACGAUUAUUGUGCUAUCAUCAUCUUCUUCACUAGCAACAUUAACACCAAAUCGAUGGACCCAUACAUUUCAUCAAGAAAGGUCUAUAUCCAAUAAAGUUGAAGCCUAACAAAAAAUUCAAGAAGAUUCAUGCCUCGCCACAACAAGGGGCACAACAACAUCAAAGUAGAGAUUAAGCAGUAUUCUCAAAGCUAAAACUCUCAAAUCCACCCACCAGAAUUUCAUAUCUCCUCAACAAUUUUAAGAACUAAAGAUAAUUAGGAUUUAACAUUAGUUUUUUAUAUAUUAGUUUCAUAAUUUACAAAUCAAUGAAGAUGAAGAUUAUGCUAAUAAAUUCAAAUUAUACCAUACAUUCUCUAGAUGUUACCAAAAAUUUCUAAGUCAAUCCCACAUAUUUCAUAAUUUUAAGACUAGAAAAUUUCACUAGUUAGAAGUUUCAUUACCUUCAAGUGGAAGAUGAAGAACAUUAUACAAGUGAUUCAGAUUAUAUCAUACAUACUCCAAAUGCAACUAGAAAUUAACAAGUUCAUGCACACAUAUUUCAUAACAUUAUGAUUGAAAAGUUUCACAGAGAAAUUCUAAAUUCAAUCUCUUGCAUGAAGGCAAUUUGAUUGAUUUGAGUUACUUUCUUAUCAAGCUACUAAUAUAACAUUCAAGUCAGGGAGAAAAUAAAUUAAAACUGGGAAGAAAUAACAGUAAAAAUUUGUUGCUCAACAUGAUGUGUAUUUUUUUUCAAGGCAAUUUGGAAACACAAUUGUUACCACAGAUAUUCUUCUCAACUUGGAGAUAAAUACAAAUAUUAAAAUGCAUAUGAUCGCACAUACUACUUCGAGUUUAGUAAGAUUUCAUUAAAAGAAGCAAUCAAACCACUUAUCAAUUGUCGCAGUCGUUCUAUAAACUAAAAUAGCAAUAUAAUACAAGAAAAAGAACAUAUAGAUACUUGGCAAGAGUUCAUUAAGAAGUCACAUCACAUUCAGGUGAGGAGUUUGCUUCUGAUAUCUUGCUAGCUGGGGCUUUUUCUUGUCUUUCUACGUAUGCCGAGGGAAACCAACCAGCUUGGCCCUUGCAUUCACCUUCCGACCAUCCAAUAGGAGCCACCUUGAGAAGUUAUAACUAAAAUGGUGAAUUAAACAAAAGUUGACCGUUCAAAGACCUAAGGGGAAAACUAAUUCUUUUACGUAGGAGGAGUGAAUUAGUUGUGAUCACUGAAAUAACAGCAUAACUAUGGAAGCAUAACAAGAUAUAAAUUCACACGUCUAUAAGGGUAAACUGGGUGGUUGAGAACUGAGCUAGCAACCCUACUAUAUUCUGAUUUGCACUUCAAUGUAAAAGGGAAUAUAUGGUAGGAAGAAAGAAAACCAACCAUCAUUUGUUAACUCAUUGCUUUUCAAUCAAAAUUUUAAGAACAAAAUGCCAUGUGCUUUGAACAUCAAAUAAGUAUAAGCAUUAGUUCUAAAUUCCACAUAUCAUAAGUUGUUAGAAGGAUAAGUUAAUAGCAGAGUAGAAAAAUCUAUGUGUUGGUAUUUAGAGGGGAAAGUACCUGGCGAACCACAACAUAAUCAUCAAUUGAAAGACUUAGCUCUCCAUUUGCUUGAGCAUCAAAUGGAUGUAUAACCUGCAAGAUAAUGGGAUAAAUAGAACAUAAAAAAAGCAUAACAAAAGCGGCAACAGUAGCAGCAACGUUCAUUGUAACCACUAUGAUCAUGGCCAACAAAGAUAUAUUAGAAACAAAAUUCCAUUUUUACUACGACAUUAAUAUGUACUAUACGAUAUCAUGACGAUUGGGUUACUAAGAGCUAUCAAAGUCUAAUAAGUUCUGUAUAACUUUAUGUAGUUAUUUAAAUUAUGGAUCAGAUUUUAAAUUUGAAAUUUUGACUGCUCUCCACAAAACAUGGCCUAUGCACAAGAAAGUCAUAGAUAAUGAGGAUUACAAGUGUCCGACAUCUUUUGAGUGAUGGAUUUAACAUGAGAGCUUAUGGUCAGUCAAUUUCCUCUGCCUAGCAAUAUAAGCUUUCUCGGCCAGAUUUAUCAUCAAAUACAUAGAUUGCCCCCAAGUCACAUCCAUAUAAACAUAGUUUUUCUAGGUAAACCAAGUAAGGAGUAUCAUAAUUCAGACAUAAUCAUAAAAAGGCCCAUCUAACUUAAGAGAAAAUCUCAAAAAGAGGGAUGCUGAGCUAUCAGUCUUGUAUCUAUAAGCAAUAUCAAGACUUUACGUCACCUGCUACAUCGUGAGUGGCUACACAACUUUCAGUGGUUUGUCUUUCUUUGGCACGCCUAACUCAGCUUUGAUGUUGCUGAGAUAUUGAUAGUAGAGACACAUGAUACUUCUAGCUCAUGCAUUCUAUCUAACUCAUCCAACAACUAUCUCUUUUUUAAUUCAUUAGUGUUUGCUAAACCUCAUGCUUAAAAGUCCUGUUCUCCUAAACAAAGUUUCCUAAGAAUGACUUCCUUAGCACCACAGUUGGACACUUUUAGAGCAAUUUUAUUUGGGGGAAAAGAAUUUUCAAGGUGUUAACUAAUAAAUUUUAAAAAAUAAUUACAAUUUGUCCUACGAUCAUAUGACAAUUUAUCUGGGAUGAAAGGAUACAGAUAGACAUCUUCCACUUUCAAGACUAAUCACUACUUCCGUAGAUGUUGUGCAAUAAUACAAAUACUUGACCAGAUGGUAGAAAAAAAUUUUAUUGCUCCAAAAUUAAAAUAAGAAUGCAAUAUGUUAAGCAAAAGGCUGUGCAACAUCAAAUUAAUUGAUAAGUUUGUAAUUCAGUAAAUUAACAACUUUCAUGGUAAAAUACAACAAAUUUCUUUUGAAAAAAAAUAAAUAAAUCUUAAAAGACAACAUUCAAUUUUGUGUACAUCUUAUUUCUUAAGAUUUUUCAGGAGGAGGGCAAUAGAGGGACUUUCACCUAUGCAAGAGAGCAGAAGCCUUACUUUCCCUAUAAAGUAGACGUCAUUCUGAUUAAUAUGCGUUUGCAAAUCAGCUCCGUUUGAAUCAGUAUUCUGAUAGACACACGAGGCAUUUACAUCCAUUUCCAAAGUCACAUGUUGCGAGGAGGACUCAUUUGAUUGCUCCUAUACGAUCAUCUAAUUCAAGUAGCAAGGGUUGGAAGAGAAUAAAAAGUCACAAUUAUUCUUUUGCAUAAGUGAGACGAAAAUGAUAAAUGCAAUAUUAUCAGCAGUAAACAAGAAGAGAACGCUCCAAGAAAUAGAUAGAUGCAGACAGGCAAGUUAAAAUGCAUAGUCCCAAACCUCCGCAUACAACUUCUCUAAAAUAGCAAUAACGUGUUGAUGCUAUGUUUUCUCAGCAUCUACCUGCAAAGGCCCGAGACCAGGAAAACAACAAUAAAGGAGAAAGUAAAGAAAGAAAUACACUUGACAUAAAUCUUGAAAAGAAGCACAAUUUAAGACAUAACAAACCCCAAUCAUAUUGUUUAGAACUACCAUUCGUUAUUUCGUUAUUGUAGCAUUUCGAACAAGCGUUGACUUAAUUCAACAUUGUUGGAAAGAUAGGCUUUUAGAAGCGGAAGAAAGCCACUCAAACCAAAGUGAUUGUCCUUGUAUUGAUCAAGGGAUGUAAACAUAUUACAUUUGCAGGAUGAGUUUUAAUCACUCCCCUGAUUUAUUUGGGAUGCAGUAAAACUAAGCGAGCAACUGUUUGACUUUCAAGCAACAUCUAAAUCAGCUAUUAAAAUUCAAAUAAAAUUAUAAUAGAAUAAUAACAGGCCAUCUUGCAUCAAAAAUUAAGUUUAAUUUGUGAAUUUUUUUCUAUAGACAUGUUAGUUCCUGCUAUUGAAAUGUUAAAAGCAUUGAAAAAUUAUUCAAUAAAUUAUGCAAACAUUAAAAUAGAGGACAUAUUAAAAAGUUUCUAAUUACAAUGUUAAGAUUUCCUAUAUUUUAGCAUUUGCAUAUUUUAAUUUAUUUAAAAGCUACGUAGAUCAACUUUGGGCAUGAAGAUUUUAGCUUCUACGAGACUUGAUUGGAAUAUGCAUAAGGAAGUGUGUUAAAAUAUGAUGCAUCCAACGAAAGACAAACCACGUGUAGUCUUUUAAUUAAGCCAAAGUAGCAGCUCAAACAAAUGACACUUGGACCAACAUGCAAUCAUGAAGUGGCCGGAAAAAGGACAAAUGCAACUUUGGCUUAAAUAAAAAAUAACAUGUGACUCGACUUUUGCUGGACAUGCAUCAUGUUAUUACAAGACAACAAAAAUCAGUAUGAUAGUACUAAAAGUUGACAAUAACAUGAAGAUAAGAGGCAGAAUGUCAACACAUGCAUAGGCACACACAAGAAAGUAUUAACGUAUAUACCAUAGCAAAAAGUAUUUGAUAUGUCAUCUGUUGCUGCUGUGAUUCAACUGACAGCAUGGCAGCUGUUGCUUCUCUACCAAGAGCCAUUAUUGUAGAUUUAAGCUCGGUCAAUCUUGCUUCUGCAUUUCGAAGCUUCACAGCACUCUCUGCUGAUAUAUCAGAUUCCCUAAUCUUUGAUCGGUGCCUAAAUACUUCAGCUGCCUGGUGAAAAUAUUCAAUAUAAAUCUAAUAUAAUUCUCAUCUUGCCUUAUGCAUGCAUAUGUUACCUCAAAGCUUACCUGGGCUUCAACUUCAUGUCGAAGUUUGUCAUAACGAUGAGUCAGGUGUCGAGCAUCUUCCAAAGGUGCUCCGUUGAUUAACGCCCGUAGUGGCUCAGAUACCUACAUGUCCAAAAACCUGUAACAUAGUUAGAAAAAUGAAAAGAAAGAGCGAAACCUCAAUUAAAAAGUUCCUCCAACAUAAUCAUGGAAUUUGGGCCUACUUCAAGGAUAUAUAUAUAAGGAUAAUUUAUGCAAUUUUGGGUCUUAGGAUGAUUCAUAUUAGGUUAGUGUUCUUCUCUUCUGUAUUUAAGGUUAAAAUAGAAAUAAACCUAUGCAAAUAUAUAAAUUAGGGCUGUAAGACUUCCACAUGCAUCCUUCAGUCUCAUGGAUUUGAUUUUACUAUAGAUGCAAGUGUCUUUAUCGAAAAUGCUUGGAGUCAAUUGAGAGAACUCACGGCCAAUAACUUGUCACACGCUAGUCUUUGCUAGUGAUGUAAGAAGUCACAAGGUCUCUUCAGCAUUUGAACCAAUAAAAUUAUUAAGUCAUGGAUGUCACUAGCAAUGAUUUUAAUAUAAAAUAUUAAAUAUUUCAAGUUGUAACUUUAAAAUGGAUUCUUUUAUUCAAUAUCUUAGAACUAAGUUUCCUUAUGAGAAGAUAAUAGUUUCAGUAGUAAUGUACAUAUAAUUUUCUAUAUUUGAAUUAUUUUCUAGUUAGGGAUGAACUAACCUGAUCACGAAGAAUCCCAAGCAAAGUUUCCCUCUCAUUUUCCAUCAAAUCAUGUGAAGUGCCAAAUUGAAGAGCAGCUCUUGCAACGCAAGAAUUGUCACUUUGAUUCUCCACUCCAUACUUGCAACAAUCUUCGGCCAACUUUCUCGCUACAAUAUUUGAAUACAAAAAUAUUGUACACAAGAACUAGUCAAGAAAAUUAAAAAAAAAAUCAAAUAUUAUAACGAGAGCAAGAGCAAACGAACAACCUAUUUCCAUUUGUUUCAAGCUUACUGCAACAAACACUUCAACGCCACGGACAACAUUCCUCUGACAAUAUUCCAAAUUAUUGUUCAGAUAAAACCAUAGAAACCAUCAUAAUUGUUCAACAUACAUUAAGCUAAAGGAGGAUGGUGCCUUAGCUGCCCUGGUGGAAUUGUAUAGAUUUUGAAGUUGUUGGUGACACUCAAUUUCAGAUUCAUCAACCGCAACAUUUUCAAUACCAAGAUGGAGCAGAUGCUUCAAUACUGCCUGUACAAAUCAUAAAAAACUAAUGAAAAAUAAAUAAAAUCGAGAAAUUUCACUAACUAAAAGUCUAAAUAUAAUUUUUUUAAAAAGAAAAGAAACGGACUUGCUGCUGCUUGGCGACUUGUUCUCGGAGCUUGAUUGCCUGUUUCUUGAUAGCUUCCAUACUGUUUCUUUCAAAAAGCGACGACGGCUCAGCUCAUGGAGGUGGAAAAAAAAAGUGUGAUCGGGAAAAAUAAAAAGGCAUGAAUAAUUUUUGAAAAAAAGCGAAAAUCAAGGAAAGCCAGCUCUUUCCAGAAAAUAAAAAAAGAAAAAAGAAAAAAGAAAAUUAUAAGUUUGAAAGGAGAAGAUGAUUGUGGAAGUGUGCGGUGUGGCUGACAGCUACUUGGAUUGUAUUGUCGGGUAAGGUAAUAGUAGAGAAUUUUUUUUUUUUAAGAAAAAUAGUAGAGAAUUUUUUAAGAAGCUAGAACAGAGCAUGACAUUAGACUUUUGUUGACCAAAGGAUGUUGUUUUAUUCUUCUUAUACUUUACGUUUGGUUUGGUUUUUCAAACUAAAUAAUCAAGUAGCAAAAAUACAAAUUUAGAGAUUAGGGGGUGAACUAGCUAGGUGGUUUACAAAUAUUCCUAUUUGUAAGGUGAAUUAAUUGAAUCAUGAGAAAACAAUGUGACCAUAGCUCAAUAUGAGAUGAUUUCGGAGAGGCAUAUUGUUUUCAAGUGAAUUUGAUCCAUUAAGAGAUGAAGUGGAUUGAAGUGGAAAGUUUAAAUAACAAAUCCUUGUUCUUGAGUUUUACGACGUUGUUACUCCUUCAGGUGGCAGAUUAUGCAAGUGAAUUCAAAAACACAAUGCAUCAAUCACGGGGAUGCUACAUCAAAAGACGGGAUCAUAGUCUAUGCAUUGAACAGUUACAGUUGCUGCUACCAAUUGCCUCGGCAAAGAUCAAGAAGACUGAACGGGAAGUUAAUGCCAUCAAGGAGUUGUCUAGUGUUCUUUUCCUUAUGCUAUGAUCGGUGCUCUUGAGGCUGCCCUGAAACACAGGAAAAUACUUCGAUAUCCUCCAUUCGAUGAUGCAAAGAACCGGUUAAUGUAUGAUUACCUAAUUGACUCAGGAUCAGGUAACAACAACAACAAUUUAUUAAUAGUAAUAUCACAAACGAAGAAGAUUUCGGAGAGGGAGAUGUAAGCGUAUACUGUUUACAGGUUUGAUCCACUGGGGAUGAAGUGGUCUCAAGUGGAAAGUGAUUUAUUAAACAACAAAUCAUUGUUCUUGGGUUAUACCUCAUGAUGUCAUCAAGUGGAAGAUGAAGAUCGUUUGAUAUUGAAGAAUUUGAACAGAAAGCCCAUAGAAAGUACUUAAAUAAGCAUAUUCUUGUUGGGGUAGAAUAUUAAGAAAGGAGUUGUCUACUGUGUGUUGCGUAAUUAUGCUAUGAUCGGUGCUUUCAACAUUGCCCUGAAAACAGUGGGAAAUACUUCAUACCCUCGACAUGAUGAUGAAAAAUUGGUUACCGAUUACCUAAUUGACUCAGGUGACAACAAUCCAUUAAUAGCACAAUUUGACGUGAUGCCGUUUAGGUAUAUGGUUUUCAAGUUUGAUUCAUCAGUGAUGAAGCGGACUAAAAUUAAAAGUUUAAAUGAUAAGUCAUUGUUCUUGGGCAUAUCGUCAUUACUACUUCCAGUGAUCAACGAUGAAGAUGAAGAUGAAAAUUGUGCGAGUUCAAGAUUACCAUUUAUCAUUACUUGGGAUAUUACUUCAACAUAGAUGGGGUUAUAAUUUACUCCCACGAACAUCAACUCAACUUUAUGAUUGGAGUGUCUCACCGUGACUCAGACAAAUUCUGAUUCAACCUCCUUCACCAAUGGAUUUUGAUUAGUUAUUUUGUGAUCAAGCAACUUAAUUAAACUCACAGUUUGUUAGUCUAAUUUUAGUUUUACUGUGACCACUAUUCAAGGUAAGCGAAAGUUACAGAUGUGGCAAAAUCAAUAAUUAAAUUCAUAAAAUGUUAAAAAAUAAAACUUAUAAAUGUUGCAUGACUACUUACUAAUAAAUAAAUAAGUUAGAAUGUAGUUAGUUAAUUUUACACCAUAUUAUAUAUUAUUCGAUAAUAAUAUAAAAUAAAAAUAAUUAAAAAAUAAAUAAUUGAAUAAAUAAAUAUGGCUUUCUAAACAGUAAAAAUUCUAGAGUUAAAAUUUAUAUUAUUAUUUUAUUUUUUAAAAUUGACAUUUUUCUAUUGUCUUACAUGUACAAAGAUUUUGAGAGUUGAGAAGAAUAUAUUUAAUGAAGCUUGAUAACAUUUGAUGGGAUAGCAAGUAAGGGUAAAUAAGAUAUUUUUAUUUGUUAUUUAUUUGAAUUAUAUCUAUUUGUUCAAGUUAAAAUACUAAAUAUAAAUUGGAGGUAGACAUUUUAACAGAUCAUCUAAGCUCUCAAAUCUGAAAUUUUGUGUAGAUUUAAAUUCAUAAUCCCCAAUUAUUUGAUCAGCAACUAUCAAGAACUAACCAAAUUUAUUUCUUCAUGACUUCCAAACACUAGAAAAUUUUGUUAUUUGAUAAUAAUAUCAUUAAUUAGAGUUUAUCAAACCGCAUUAUUUUCUUUCAUAAAAUUGAUGCCUAUUAGUGUCACACUUUAUUUGUAUUACCUAGCGGACAUCAACUUUUUUUUUAAUUUUUUAAAUUAAAAAGACCAUUUGAUUUUAACCCAUGUUCUUGGCCUUAGGGAAGCUGACUUCUUUUAUAGUCAGGCGAUGAGUUAAGAAGUGACAUAGCAUUCAGGCGAUGAGUUUAUUUUUGUUAUCUUGCUAACAGUUUUAGUCUAAUUUUAGUUUUACUGUGACCACUAUUCAAGGUAAGCGAAAGUUACAGAUGUGGCAAAAUCAAUAAUUAAAUUCACAAAAUGUUAACUAAUUAAAUUCAUAGAGUUGCACAAUUUCAUCAACUUGGAAGAAUUGACUUUAAUGGACUGGCCUUCUCCCCCUAUAAUUCUAAUGCUUCUAGGAAGCAAAUUUUUAUAAAUUAUUUAUUUUUGAGUUAAUUUCAAUUUCAAAAAACAAAUUUUUUAAGUUAUUGAUACUCUAAUGAGAGUAUCUUCAUAACAAUUCCCUUGCUCCAAUAAUAACAAAAAGGUGGUUACUUAGAAAUAAUUAAAAUAAAUAAGUGUUGAUUAUAUAUCCUAAUUUGCAUCGAUUUUUUUUUACCUUAAUUUCAGGAAUUUGGAAUAUAAGUUUGUGAAUGGAGGAUGAUCACGCGUGUGUUAAUUUUUCAGUCAUUGACUGUCGUAUUCUCGACUUAACGAUAGUGUUCUUGAUCAAGGGCAAUGACUCCCACCCCUCUUUUAAAAAUAUUGUCAAGUAUAUUGAUGACAAAAUCUCUUAUAGUUAAUAGUCUUUAAAAAUUUAUAGAUUUACUAUUGUCAUGACCAAAUUAUUCAUGUUUAAUGAAAUAUUAAUGCAUCAAAAUAGAUAUCUUCGGAAUCUAAUCCGAUCGGCUCAAUCCGUUUCAUUCGCAAAAGUGCAAUCCGCAAAAAUUUGAUCUGUGGAUUAGUGGAUUGGAUUGGAUUGAAAGUUUAAAAAUCCAUAGUCGAUAAAUUGGAUAUCGAUUUACUUCUCUAAAUAUGCAAAAAUUCAUGAAUUCGCAAAAAAAAAAAAUGUAUUUACUAAUAAAUAAAUAAGUUAAAAUGUAGUUAGUUAAUUUAACACCAUAUUAUAUCUUAUUCGAUAAUAAUAUAAAAUAAAAAUAAUUAAAAAAUGAAUAAUUGGAUAAAUAAAUAUGACUUUCUAAACAGUAAAACUUCUAGAGUUAAAAUUUAUAUUGUUAUUCUAUUUUUUUAAAUUGACAUUUUUCUAUUGUCUUACAUGUACAGAGAUUUUGAGAGUUGAAAAGAAUAUAUUUAAAUAAAAUAUUUUUAUUUGUUAUUUAUUUCAAUUAUAUCUAUUUUGUUCAAGUUAAAAUACUAAAUAUAAAUUGGAGGUAGGCAUUUUAACAGAUCAUCUAAGCUCUCAAAUCUGAAAUUUGUGUAGAUUUAAAUUCAUAAUUUUAGUUAAUUUUCAUAUAUUCAUAUAAACAAAUUUAUGAGAUUUUUUUCUUUUCAACAUGUUAUAUUUUUAAACUUUCAAUGUAUUAUUUUAGCUAUAUUUAAACAAUUAAUUUAUUUAAUUUUAAAUUUGAUCAGUAUAAAAUGUUUUUAUAUCAAAUUUUUUUAUUUAAAUAGUUCGUGGAUUGGACAAAAUUAAACAUUUUUAAUUCUUAAAUGAUGGAUUGGAUAUGAAUUGGAUCAAAUCCACAUUCGAUCCGCAGUUAUAUGGAUUGAAUUUGAAUUGAAUUUCAUCAAUCUAUGGAUUAUAUUGGAUUAAAAAUUUAUAAUCCACAAAAUCGUUGAUUAGAUAUGGAUUGAUGUCCAAUUCGCAAAAUCUAAUUGCCGAACACUCCACUAUCAAAAUUUUCAAAAAUAUGUUUUAUCCUAUAAUUUUUUUUUAAAGUCAUAGUCUAAUGGCAGCUCAAUUUCUACUGCAUUCAUAUAAGCGGAGUUCAAAUCUCAUACCUCUUAUCUCCACACGAGAUUUAACCAGUUGAAAUAGCUAGCACCCACAAAUAUACUAGUACAGCAUCUCUUAACGUUUAACAUACGUAUAAUUAACGCCAUAGCUAUUGAUAAACACAUUGUUCAAUAUAUAUGAUCAAGAAUCUGAUCCUGCGAGCAACAGCAGUAAGAAGAACCAUUAUAAUGCCUAGCUCUUAUCCCGGUUAAUCCUCUGGCCCGAUGCUUCAUCAUAGUGAUUUAAAAAACAAACAACAGCUCUCUAAAAGAGAUGAAGAUAUCAUCUACGUAAAGAACAUGAAACGGAGAUUCACAACCCAUAAGAACUGAGAUAAAUUGGACCAGACCGGUAAUCUUGAGAUAAGUUAAACUGUGACCUAAGUUGAAAUCAGAGGACCAGAAUUUUAAAAUCUUUCGGCUAAGCCCCUGAGCAAUUUUCUAGAGUACGGCUUCUGCUUACCUCUGUUUAAUUUCUCUUUAUAUUUUUCUUUCAUUUCAUUAAUAAAGUCAAAUAAUAAAUCAAAGAACGAGGGAAGAUUUUUCCAAGUCAUGCAUUAUUUGAUUACCAUCAAUCAAGAAACCGACCAAAUUAAUUUCUCUCCGUGAUUUUUAAAAAUUAAAAAAAAAAUUAUUUGAACAUAACAUCAUUAAUUAUAGAGUGGAUCAAACUGCGUUAAUCAUGAAACUGAUACCUAUUAAGAGUCAAACUUUUUACUUAUGCAUACUAAAAGACAUCAAAUUGUUCCGAUCCCCAAUUAUUUGAUCAGCAACUAUCAAGAACUGACCAAAUUUAUUUCUUCAUGACUUCCAAACACUAGAAAAUUUUGUUAUUUGAUAAUAAUAUCAUUAAUUAGAGUUUAUCAAACCGCAUUAUUUUCUUUCAUAAAAUUGAUGCCUAUUAGUGUCACACUUUAUUUGUAUUACCUAGCGGACAUCAACUUUUUUUUUAAUUUUUUUAAAUUAAAAAGACCAUUUGAUUUUAACCCAUGUUCUUGGCCUUAGGGAAGCUGACUUCUUUUAUAGGUGAUAUCUGCUUGAACUUUGGUGUGUUAAUUAUUUCAAUCCCCAAUUAUGUAAUUUUUUAAAUUAUAGCCUAACGGCGGUCUCAUCACCACGUGUGUGAUUUUCUUUUGCCAAUAGGAUCUGCAGAGAGCUUGAUCUCAUCCAAUAGCAAAAUAAACUUCCUAAUAAGUGAAGGUAUAGUAUAAAUAUUUCACCCCCAUAUUAUUUAUUAGCAGCUUGAUUAUUUUAUAUGCAUCUUUGAUUUUAAUUUUUUUUCCCAUAAUUGCUACUAUGUUCGAACUGGUCAUGAAUUAUCUAUAAGAUUUUUCAUGUUGCUUUUAGGUGCAUUGGAUUUUUUGAGUUUAGUGCAAGAGUAGAGGAAGGCAAAUUAAGAAAAAGGAUAAAGAUCUAUGAUUAGCUAUUUUGGGAUGUCUCAUAACAUAUUGAUGCUAACAUUAUACAUAUGUAUAUCUAAAUAAUGGGCUUGGAUCAAGAGCCCAUUAAUAAUCAUAGAUUAGCUUAUAUAGUUCAAAAAAUGUACCAUAAAGCAAUUUUACAAGCACUUGUUAGCCUAUGUUGAGCUUUAUUAUCAAUAGUUCAUAGUUCAUCAGUGCACUGCAAGUUUACUAUUUGAAGUAAAUGUUGUGGUGCGUGCAUUCUUCAUAAGGCCAACUAUUGAAUUUAGCAUUGAAACUUACAAAAUGUAAUAGAAAGAGGUAGAUAACAGCCAUAAAACACUAAGAUUGGAAAUCAGGGCAACUAAAUACUAUUACAAGCCCUUAGAAAAGACAGCGAUCAUCCUGAAAUAUAUAUACUGAAAGUAAGAAAUGUUAAUCGCAAAGUUAUGUGCCAACAGAACUAUUGACUACUUGUCUCUAGUAGAAAGUAAAUAUUUUUAACUUCAGCCCUCUACUUUGUUCUAAGAACAAGGCAAUAUAAGGAAACAUCGGUGUCUAAAAUUUGCCGCUUGGAAUAUUUCACUGUCUAAACAUUCACUCACCACUUAUUUCAUUAAUGAAUUUUGUCUAAUUAUAUGUUGAUAAAGAUAUUAGAGUAAUAUAAUACAUUUAAGGCUUAACUUAUAUUUUUUAUUAGUAGAGUGUAGAACUUUUAAGAAAUAAAUUAUUAAAUUACUAUAACUAACAUAUUAUUUUAAAGUUAUGUUAAGGAAAAGAAUGAAACAAAAAUAAAUAAAUAAAUAAGGGUAUUCUAAAACUUUGAUCUUUUUAAAAGUAGAUUUUGACAUAGAUAAAAUAAUUUUUAUAUUUUUUAAAUCACAUACUCUAGUUAAAAUCAAAUUGUAUUUAUAAAGUUUGUAAAUUUUUUUUUUUUUAGCACUGAUAUUUGAACACUAUCAAGAUAAGAAAUAGGGCACUGGUCAUGCUACAACAUUAUUAUAGCACAUAAAAAGACAAUACCAUUUAUUUUAUUGUACUAUCAUUGUUGUUAUAAUAGUAUUUUUGUUAGUGGUCAAAUAUUAUUUUUUUAAGUAAAAAAAGUGAACAAUGUAAAUUAACUUUUAAUCUCUCCUAAAUUCUAAUUCCUAGUUACGAAACAAAAUUGUUUAAAACCAUAGGUGAUAGGUGAUAGAAGUUACUAACACAAGCAAAUUUGACGGUCCAUUUUAUAAAAUUUGUUAUUUACCAUUUUACCACCUAUAUAAGGAGUGCCGCAUCGACAUAUCAACUCAUUUGCAGAUUAUUUUAAUUUUGUAAAAUUCAUUUAACCUGCACUUGGUCGCCCCUAUUCUCUGAAUGGUUAUGGCGAUAUCAUCAUUAUCGUUACUUGUACCAACGCUAAACCCUUCUUAUUCCCUUUCUCGCCUGUCAUACCCUAACAUUAUAUCCCGUGUCCACACUAAAGACAAGUAGUCAAUUCAAGCCAUCAGAUUAUAGUGGACCCACAUCAAUCCAACUACUUACAAUGACCGACAGCCUCUCCAUCUCCAUUUCAGGUUUCCUCUUCAACUGGCUUCUGCUUCCGCUGUAUUUGCUCCAUUUCUUGGAUUCGGAGUCCGUAUUUGGUCGGUCGGUCCCGCACAGCUCCCUCUCACUCCAAUUGUCACCCAACAAGACCAAUUGCUUAAUCAAGGCACAGAACAAGAAGAGGAUGAGAAAUUGAAACAGAAUUUGAGAAUUGGAAAUCGAAAACGUACGCAUUGACCGUGCCUUUGAGGGCAAUUACUUUUCUUGAGAAUUGAAGUUUGGUAAUGUAAUUUGUUCUCCAUCUGUGUUCCUUUGUAGUCAUUUCAUUUAUUUGUUUGUUUGCUUUAUUUGCACUUACGAAGUCUCAGGUAUACCUACGCAGGAAUGAGCAGGAGAAAUUGAUCCUCGAGGUAACAUAUGGGCGCGCCAUAUCGGUGGGGCACAGUGGUGAUAGCUUACAAGAAAGUAAAUUUCGAAAGCAUAAUUUGGUUCCGAUUGAGGUAAUAAUUGUCUUUAAGCUCAUUUAGUUUUAUAUCAAACAAAAUCAAGACUGCCUUUCUCUUCAAUAGUUUUGAUGAUAAUAUCUUUAGAAGCAUCUCAUUGACAGGUAAUCGUGGUACCCCUUAAAGAGUCUAUAAACUCAAGGAUAUUAUCUUCUGCAAAUGGUUCAUUAAACUUCUUAGAUGUAGUUAAAUGUACACUGAGAACAACGAGAAGCUAUGCCACUGUAGCAUGUAGUGAUGGCACUUAAUGAGUGAGUUGCUAGGAUAUGAACUAGAAAAAUUAAACAUUGUCUCCCUGGGUAUGCUAGCUUGUAAGUCGGUUAAUAUUAGAGCUUGAGAUACUAUAACCAUGAGAAGCUAUUGACCGCCGAUUAAAAUAUCCAUUAAAAUGUCUAGGGAGUUAUGAAGGUGGAGGUGUCUCCCAAUUUCUAAGGCCAUAUAGUAGACAUCAUCCAGGAUCCUAUUAAAGUGCAGUUAGCCUCCUGCUUGAUGCUAAUGUCAAACAAUUAAUAAAUUUGGUCAAUGUAACUGAAACUUGCUAACUGACGUCAGAUUGCGACUUGAGCACCUUAAAAUGGGAUAGACGAUUAGUAGCACUGAAUUCUUCUUGCCUAAGAUUGAGCAAUUGUUCUAACUACUAUCUCCUAUUGUAGGUUGAUUAUUAUGUUCUAAUUAUGUCGAUUUUGACCCAAAAAAUUACAUAAUCUUGAUCUGCAUAAUGUCACUGAACAGUGUCAAUUUCGUUUACCAACUAACUUGAGUUUGAUAUAACAAACACACGGUGUGUCUCUCAUGUCUCACCAUGAUGGAGAAUUUUUCUAAUGCAUGAAGCAAGCUUCGAUAUGUGGGUUAGCUUGGAGAAGAUAUCUUAAAAUGAAGAAUAUGGGGAGUUAAUGGGAAGAAACAGUUCAGUAGUUUAUAAUUCUGUCGUCGAGCUGUAUCUCUAACAUGGUCAAAAUUUAUGUGAAUAAGGACAGGGAAUCUUCAUUCCUCUUUCCCUUUUUAUACCCACAUAUCUCUCAACCUUUAUAUGUUGCUCACUGGAGAUCUGCUUCUGAUAACUAAAAUAAAAAUUUCAUCCACUCAAAUAAAUUCUGACCAAGCUUUCACAAGAAAAAGUAACAUCUUUAGUGAAGUAAUUUACAAGUAAUUUAGAGUUCCUUAUCAUCUUCUUGUGAGUCUAUCAGUAUGAUCCAAAAACAUAAUAAAUCUUGUUAGAUCCUGUUUAUUGAUGUUUAAACGCUGCUCAUUGUGAAAUGUAGAAACAAUGACGUGAAGUUUCUUUGGUCAUCAAUUAGUGAGAUCUUGUUUGAAGUUGUUUUCUGAAAUGAACUGCCAAAUGAUAGUUUUUUUUUUUUUUUCUUUGGACGCAUUUGAUGGCUCUUUUCUCCUCAUUUUAAGCAUGUGCCUGCUUGGUAUGGGAAGGAAUAGGCUUCAGAGUUGUUAUAUAUGUUGACAUGCUCUGGUCAUUACACAAUAUGUUCAAAUUGGAAAUUAGAAUGAGAUAUUUGUCGAUGCUUUUUGAGAGAUCUGCAUUCUAUGCAGCAUAACAUGAUUAAUGAAAAUGGGUUUAAGGACUGGAAAGAUCUGUGGCAGCCCAAGCUUGCAGGAAGGAUUUCAAUGGUUAAUUCUCCCAGAGAGGUUAUUGGUACAGUUUUGAAGUAUAUGGGAGCAUCAUACAAUUCAAACGACAUUAAUUAGCAAGUUGCUGCUGGGAGGAUUGCUGUUCAGCAGAAUCUGGCAUUACUGGGAAACCAGGUACUCUUAAAGAAACGAUAGCUGGUCAAUGCAUAUUAUUGCCUGACGGCUGAUUUUGUUUGUAAAGUGUGCCUUUUCAUACAUAUGAAUGCAUAUGUUAGUGUUGUCUUCUCCUUUCCAUAAAUAUGAAUGCAUAUGUUGGUGUUCUUUUCUGAGAUGGAUGCAAUAAAGGCUUUUCUUCUCUAAAUGACGAGUUUUCAUUUAAAAAUGUUAUAAAUCUGCCAUGCAUAGUAUUCUAGUAGAAUCAUCUAUAAAUUCAAGUUAUUGAAAUUGUCUAUUUGUCCAGUUUGAGUUAAGGACGCAUGUAAUAUGAAAAUAGUUGUCGAAUAUUGUAGGUUAGCUAAUAUUGAUCAAUCCUAUAGGGAGGGCUUUAAGAUGUCUAACAACAUGUAGAAUGCCCCUGCUUCCCCCACAAUUUUUAUCUUAUACAAUUUUUAUCUAUAAACAGUAUUUGCCAGACCUUAACUGUUCAGAUUCCCCUUCUCGACUAUCAUACCCUACGCCCCGUCUCCGUGUCUCCGAUAAACAGCUCAAUUAAGGCCAUCAGAUUAUCCCGGUCCCACAUUGAUCAACGGCUCACAAUGACCGACAACCUCUGUCUCCAUUACAAGCUCCCUCUUCAACUCGCUUCUGCUUCCAUCCUACUCUUUCUCAGAUUCGGAGCCCGUAUAUGCUCGCUGGUCCCACGAAGCUCCCUCUCACUCCAGCUGUCAACCGACAAGACCAAUUGCCUUAUCAAGACAGAGAACAAAAAGAGGAUGAGAAAUUGAAACAAGAAUUGAGAAUUGGAAAUCGAAAACGUACUCAUUGACCGUGCCUUUGAGAGUUGUUUCUCUUCAGAAUUCAGUGCCUCAAUCUUGGGUUAAGGAUUUUAUGCGAAGUCAAGGAAAGUGAUUGAAGUUUCAGAUGAAUUUGUGUGCUAGCAUUGGUGGGAUCUUUAACAAUUUAUCUGCCCUUUAACAAAGUCAAGGCUAAUUCAGCUUCUUAUAUGGCUGCUGAUUUGGUUAGUGUUGGUGAUUCAUGGCUUAGUUUUGCCAUUAAAGAGAGAUUGAUUGAGCCAAUGGCUGGAGCUGAAGACCAAGAUUGGUUCAAAUGCUUAAGUCACAAAUGGAAGGUAACAUCUUUAUCUUUGGCCCGAUAAUUUUUAUUGUCUUACAUUGAAAUUUGGUAAUGUAAUUUGUUCUCUAUCUGUAUUACCCUUUUUAGUCAUUUUAUUUAUUUGUUUAUUUGCUUUUAUUUGCACUAACGAAGUCUCAGGUAUAUCUAUGCAGAAUGAUGCAGGAGAAAUUGAUCCUCGAUGUGAAAUAUGGGCGGCACCAUACAGGUGGGGCACAAUGGUGAUAGCCUACAAGAAAAGUAAAUUUCGAAAGCAUAAUUUGGCUCCGAUUGAGGUAAUAAUUGUCUUUAAACUCAUUUAGUUUUAUAUCAAACAAAAUCAAGACUGCCUUUCUCUUCAAUAUUUUUGAUGAUAAUAUCUUUAGAAGCAUCUUAUUGAUGGGUAAUAAUUGUAUCCCUGAAACAGUCUAUAAACUCAAUGAUAUUAUUUCUACAAAUGGCUCAUUAAACUUUGUCGUUGUAGUCAAAUGUACACUCAGAGCAAUGACAAGCUAUGCCACUGUAGCAUGUAGUGAUGGCACUUAAUAAGUGAGUUGCUAGGAUGUGAACUAGAAAAAUUAAAUAUUGUCUCCCUGGGCAUGCUAGCUCAUAAGUCAGGGUUAAUAUUAGAACUCAAGAUACUAUAACCAUGAGAAGCUAUUGACUGCCAAUUAAAAUAUCCUUUAAAAUGUCUAGGAAGUUAUGAAGGUGGAAGUAUCUUCCGAUUUCUGAGGCCACAUGGUAGAUAUCAUCCAGGAUCCUAGUACAGUGCAGUUAACCUCCUGCUUGAUGCAAUUAAUAAAUUUGGUCAAUGCCACUGAAACAUGCUAACUGACGUCGCAAUGCGACAUGAGCACUUCAAAAUGGGACAGACGGUCGGUAGCACUAAAUUUUUCUUGCCUAAGAUUGAGCAAUUGGUCUAACUACUAACCCCUUUUGUAGUUGAUCAUUAUUUUUCAAUUAUUUUCAGUUUGACCCAAAACGUUACAGAAUCUUGAUCUGAAUAUUGUCACUGAACAUUGUCACUGAACAUUGUCAAUGUCGUUUAGCGUAGCCAACUAACUUGAGUUUGGUAAAACAAACACACAGUGUGUCAUGUCUCACAAUUCAAAUUAUCAUUUGUAAUGAUGGAGAAUUUUUCCAAUAUGAAGUAUGCUUUGAUACGUGGGUUACCUUGGGGAAGGUAUCUCAAAAUAAAGAAUAUGGGGAGAAAAGUUCAGUAGUUUAUUAUUAUGUAGUCAAGUUUUGUCUCAAAAAUGGUCCAAAUUUAAAUGAAUAAGGACCGGGGAUCUUCAUUCUUUUUUCCCUUUUUUAUACCUAGAUAUCUCUCAACCUUUAUAUAAUCCCCACUGGAUAUCUGCUUCUAAUAAUUAAAAUAAAAAUUUCACCCACACAAAUAAAUACUGACCAAGCUCUAACAAUAAAAAGUAACUUCUUUAGUCAAGUGAUUUACAGUUCCUCAUCACCUUAGUGAGACUAUCAGUGUGUUCCAAAAACAUAAUAAAAUUGGUUGUUCCUGUUUAUUGAUGUUUAAAUGUUGUUCAUUGUGACAUGUAGAAAUGAUGAGGCGAAGUUUAUUUGGUCAUCAAUUUGUAAGAUCUUGUUUGAAGUUGCUUUCUGAAAUGAACUGCCAAAUGGUAGUUUCUUUGGGGCAUUUGAUGGCUCUUUUUUCCUCAUUUUAAACAUGUGCCUGCUUGGAACAGGAAGGAUUAGGCUGCAGAGUUGUUAUAUAUUUUGACAUGCUCUAGUCAUUGCACAAUUUGUUCACACUGGAAACUAGAAUGAGAAAUUUGUUGCAUUCUAUGCACAAUAACAUGAUUAAUGAAAAUGGAUUGUAGGACUGGAAAGAUCUGUGGCAGCCUGAGCUCGCAGGACGAAUUUCAAUGGUUAAUUCUCCCUGAGAGGUUAUUGGUUUAGUUUUGAAGUAUAUGGGAGCAUCAUACAAUUCAAACGAUAUUGAUUCGCAAGUUGCUGGUGGGAAGAUUGCUGCUUCAGCAGAAUCUGGCAUUACUGGCAAACCAGGUACUCUCAAAGAAAUGAUAUCUGGUCAUUGCAUGUUAUUACCUGACAACUGAUUUUGUUUGUAAAAGUCUGCUUCUUCAUACAUAUGAAUGCAUAUGUUAGUGUUUUUCUUCCUUUUCAUACAUAUGAAUGCAUAUGUUGCUUCUUUUCCUUUCCAUACAUAUUAAUACAUAUGUUGGUGUUCUCUCCUGAGAUGGAUGCAAUAAAGGUUUUUCUGAAGAAAUGGCAAGGGAUGUGAGAUUCUGUCUCAUAAAAUUAACAAAAACCCAAAACAAUGAAAACCCAUAAUAAUGUGGUGUGGGUAAAUUGACGCCAUUUGGUUCGUUUCCUUGAUGUGAAUACGCGGGCAAUAGAGACUAACAAAAUGAAGUGACAACAAGAAGUCAGUGUCCUUUGAUGGAUGCAUUUUUAGGCAGAAAUAGGUUUGUAAUUGACCAAAUUUGUCUGGCAUGCCAAUUUCAAAAAAAAUUAAAUUAUGUGGUUAUUAGCUGUAAUGAAAGGGGGAUUGUAGGUCCAAUCAGGUGGAUCCAUGAAAGUUCAACAAAGUUCUGGUAUGGCGUAGAAAUUGGUUUGUGCAACUCAAGAGUCUUUCUGGUGAACGAUGAUGGGUUUUGAUUUUAUAAAUGUUAUAAAUCUACUGUGCAUAGUAUUCUAGUAGAAUCAUCUAUAAGUUCUAGUUAUUGAAAUUGUCUACCUUGUUCAGUUUGAGUUAAGGGCACAUGUAAUAUGAAAAAUAGUUGUUGCAUCUUUUAGGUUACCUAACAUUUGAUCAAUCCUAUUAUGAGGCUUCAAGAUGUCUAACAAUAUGUGGAAUGCCCAUGCUCCUCCCCAUUGUUUAUCUUAUAUAAUAAUUUGUUUUAGAUGCUAAUAUCUUUGUCGAUACCGGUAACAAUAUUACAAUAUCUGCGUUUAUUGGGUUUUACAUAGGUUCGACUGUUUGACAGUACACACUCUCUGAAGGCAUUUGGAAAUGGAGAUGUAUGGAUUGCUGUUGGGUGGAGUAGUGAUGUUCUUCCUGCUGUCAAACGUUUGUCUAAUGUUGCAGUUGUUGUUCCCAAGUCUGGUGCUAGCUUAUGGGCUGAUCUUUGGGUAUACCCAUGCCUGCCAUUCUACUUCAAUAUUCACAUUGUUAUCUCCUUCAUAUUAGUGAUCAGUAAACAUGAUAAUGUGACUAAUAAGUUCGUAUUCUCUUUAUAGGCAAUCCCUGCUGACUCAAGACUUGAAACAAAACAAAUUGGAGGGUGAGUCAGAGGUGCAUUUCCAUUAAUCCAUCAAUGGAUAGAAUUCUGCUUGCAAACAGCGAGAGCAUUGCCUUUCAAGCAAGAGGUUAUCCCGAGCGCAUCUCCCUCUGCCUUGAGAGUACUCUGGUUAAGUUGCCUGAAGAACUUUUGAAGGGUAAACCAAGUCUGGAUACUAACUUAAUUGCUGGAGUACCCCUGACGGAAAUUCUGGCCAGAUGUGAGUUUUUGGAGCCAUUAUCUGAAGCUACAUUGUCGGAUUAUGAGUGGCUGGUUGCUAAUCUGCAAAAAUCCACUCCUGUACUGAUCAACAAGAUGCAACAUUACAUGUCAUCAUUGAUCUUUAGCUAAAGGUACAUUGAAAAGUUAAUGGCACUGCAUACCAGUCAUUAUAAUUGGGUCAGGGCAAUUGGGUCAGGGCAAUUAGGUCAGAGCAUAACUUCAUUAGGAAAAGAGGCUUCAGCUACGUUAAAUAUUACAGGAUGUACUGAGAUGGCUGAAGUUGGUGAGGUUUUACGAGAAACGAAAGAUAGUGUUUGUUUGAACAAAGUUGUUGCCAAUCUUGCAGAGUUCGAGAAGAAAGAUCACGAAGCGAAUGCCACCGAUUUCUUCAUCAUUGUAGCCUCCAUAGUUGAAGUUUCCUCAUUUGAAGCUGUUUAUGCAUAUGCUUUUUCCCUUCUCAAGUACAGGAAAUUGAAGAAUUAACCAGAUGUGAUAUGCUGAAAGAGGGAAGUUUUCUUCCUUGAAUGUGACCUUUGUGAUUUGUCUUGAAGGGAUAGGGUGAUCACUGGCAAGAACCCUAUCAAGGUAGAUUUUAUGAUGUUAACAUAUUAUUAAGCAUUUUGUUACAUCAGCAAUGAUGCUUUCAUAGCAUGAAAGUGUUUAAAUUUAACUGAAUGAUCUUGAUUGAUCAAUUAUGAGUUUUAAUCGAGUAAAAACUAAAUACAAUAAUCGUUAACAAAUAUUGAAAUUGGGUAAAUAAGAUCUUGAUAGUGAAGAAUUUGAAAUCACACCCACACAGGAAAUCACCCUUCGCGUGGGGAUGGAGAUGUUUACUGCAGCGAUAUUGAAUAUGUCCACUGCUGGACUAAUUCUGAUUACCUAAUUGACUCAGGAUCGGCUGGCAAUAAUAACAGUUUAUUAACAAUGCACAGUCCGAGUACUUUUCCAGGAUCAGAUACGACGUGGUCUAAUGUUGAUAAUAAUAGAUUAUCAAAUGACAAAUCGUUGUUCUACUAUUGCAAGCCCCCAGAUUUAAGAAUCUUUUUCAGAAAUUAAAUACAUUCUGAGAGAUGCUGGUCUACUAUUGCAAGCCCCCAGAUUUAAGAAUCUUUUGACGGUAAUUUAUCACCUGUAACUGUGCCGGAAGAUUCAACUAGCACUGAAAAAGAUGAUAAAUUAAUUGAUAUGGAGAGUUUUCAUAUCACUUUUAAAUCAUCUUAUGUAAUUGUGAUGUUAGGAAGCAUUAGUGAUCUAUAUGUGAAUUAUUAUUGGCGCCAUUGGUGGUUUUAUCUUGUUAAAAUAUGGAUGAAUUCCAGUUACUAUUUUGUUGCAGACAAUCUUCUUCAAUUAACAUAUGGUUUAAAAUCAUUAUGUAAAUCAAUCUAUUAAUUUUCAAGAUAUUUAACUGAGUUAAAACUAAGUGCACUCAAUAAAUCUCUUUUCCUUUAAAAAACUGUUACGCUUUGAUUUUAGUGCUUAAUAUUUAUUGAACUCCGAUACAGGGAAUUUGAAAUCAAACUCGUAACUACAUAUUAUCUAAUUGCAAGUUUCUAUCCAUAGCUGCUGAUUUGUAGUGAUUAUCUAAUUGACUGAGGUGACGACAAUUUUUUUUUUUUUAAAUUUUCAAUAGCACAAUGUGGAAUUCAAUAAUUAAAUUCUCCUUUUUAAUUUGUUUCCAGUUAAAUUAUUAAUUACUUAAACUCUGUUUUAAGUCUUUAAGUUUAUGUGUUUAUGCAGAAUUGGAUUCUUGAGCGUGUUGGACACGACCAACAAUGAAAUUGACAGUAAAAAAAACAAUACAACGUGUGGACUCCGGUAGAUGCCAUACAAGUCUACAACUUUACAAAUAAUAAUUGAGUAAGCAACUUUGAUUCUCGGGGCCCUUCAAUGAAUUUCUAGCCCCGUUGACUCCGCCAACUAAAGUUUGUAAAAUAAAAAAAUACAUAGAAUUCCACUAAAUGCAAAACGCGUGGAAUUUAAUUUUCGGCCAUGUGGACCAAAACAUAAUUUAAUGAAAAAGGAAAAAAAUGAUAAGAUUUCUAAAAUAUGUGAAAGAUGAUCCAUAUUUUACUGAAACGACUUAUUAAAUUUUUCAAAGAUUUAGAAUAUUUAGUCAUAAAUUACGUGCAUGUUAAUUUUUCCGCCAUUGACUAUCAUAUUCUAAACUUAAUAGUACAUUUCUUGUUGAAGGGUACUUAAUCUCUCUUCUCCUCUUAUAAAAAUUAUAUUGAUGGAUUUCUUGUUAUAGUUAAUAGUCUUUAAGAACGGAUAACUUUAUUGUUUUCGUGACCAAAUUAUGUCCGCCUAAGGUUGUGACUAUUAAUAAAAUUAAUAUUUAAUGUUUAUGUUAAAAGAUAUAAGAUUUUAUGCGUUCAUUAAUUGUUAUUAGCUAAAGGAUGAAUUAUUUUUUCAACCCAAUCAGUUGAUGCAUCUGCAAGAGUUUUUUCUUUUAUUGACCAUAAUUAUGUUCCGGGUACAAUAAAUUGUCUUUGGUGCUUGGAAAAUAUGACUUCUUACUUCAAGUUUGAUAUGUCUCUCUCCAUAAACUUACUGGAAAUAUAUCCUCAUCUACUGUCAUUUAUCUAAUAUCAAUUGAAGAUCUCACUUUUUCAAACUAUCACUUCCAAGUCUCAUUGUCACUUGGCCAUUCUUGGACCAUUCAAAACCAAUCAAGUGUUGAAAUAAUCAAAUAUAUGCAAAAUUAGAGUCACGAUUUUUGGUCCCCCAAAUUCUAAUUAUAUAACUUCUAUAUAUUUCAUUGCCAGGUCACGAACUUGUUGGCACAUUUUCCAAAUUCCUCUUCCAUCAGCUCUCACACGUUAACUUAAGUGAAAAGUUUCCAAGUUGAUUGCUAGAAAGCAACGCAAAAUCAGACACACUUGAUCUGUCCCCUAAUUCUCUUUUCUACGUUGAAAAAGAAAAAAAAAAAUAAAAUACAUACAUACAUAUAUAUAUAUAUAUAUAUAUAUAUAUAUAUAUAUAUAUAUAUAUAUAUCUAUGUAAAAAUAAAUAAUAAACUGAGUAAAAGUACAUUUGUUUAAUUAACAUCUGAUCGGGGCAUUUUUGGUGUAAGCCACAACUAAAAUCAAACAGCCCCUUAGCAUACUUCUUCCAUUUUAUCGGCUACUUUUGUGGAUCUUAUAGGGUGGGCAUGUGGACAGAAUUUAAAAGUUUUAAUAGGCUCAAAGAAGAAGAUGUGUUAAAUCUAAAGUUGUUGCACCUUCUGAUUAAAUAAAGUUGUACAAUUUCAUCAACUUGAAAGAAUUGACAUUAAUGAACUGGUCGCCUCUCCAUGUAUGAAGCCUUCUUAAAAGUUAAUUUUUAUUUCAGAAAAAAAAAGUUUAAGUUACAUAUAUUACAGUAAGAUUUUUUGAGACCAAUUCCCUUCUUGAAAUAAUAAUAGAAAAGUAUUAAUUUAAAAAUAAAAUGAAUAUGUAUUGAUUAUAUCCUGAUUUUCAUCGAUUAUAGUUAGAGUUUCACCAAAUCAAUUCCCUUAUUCAAAUAAUACAGAAAAAAUAGUAAUUUAAUAGUAAAAUAAACAGGUGUUGAUUAUAUAUCCUAAGUUUCAUCGAUUAUGUGAUCAAAGUGGCAUUGUUGAUUUAUUUUUUGUUCAAUGUUAAUUUUUAGGUUAUAUAAAUUUCAAGGAUUUAAAAUCUUUGGCCAUGAAUUACACGCUUGUUAAUUUUCCUGCCAUUGACUGUCAUAUUCUAGACUUAAUGAUACCUUUCUUGAUCAAGGGUAAUUACUCUCUCUUCUCCUCUUAUAAAUUCCUCUUCCAUUAACAUCACUAGGAGUAUGUUGAUCUCUCAGACGUUAACUUGAGUGGAGAGUUUCCAAAUUGAUUGUUACAAAACAACACAAAAACUAGACACACUUGAUCUGUCUAAUAAUUCUCUUUCGGUAAAAUUAAAUAAUUUUAGGGGAAUAUUCGGCCAACCUCUAUAAUUUCAUAGUGAUCAUUAAUUAAUUAAUCGAUACAAAUAUCUAAAGUGAUUAAAUGUGACUUGAAAUUUGAUCUCUAUCGAUUGGUUUACAAAUGGACGUACUUGUGCCUUUGUGGCGAUAAUCGAACAAGUACCCAUGAUUAUUAUUUUUUCCAAAAACUUUUUUACAACAAAUUCAUCUCGUCAAAAAUUCUAUGUUGCUAACUAACAAUAAUUGAGCACUUGGCCGCAUUGACUCCACGUCUCCACCUCUUUCUAAAUUCUAAGUAAAAACAUGGAAAUGUAAUUUCCACAAAAUGCCAAAUGUGUGGAAUUUAAUUUUUUGCCUUGUGGAUCAAAAUACAAAUGAAAGAAACAGAAGAAAAAAAAGGCCCAAAGACUUCUAAAAGAUGAAGAAGUCUUUGUGCCUUUUUAUAAUGGUGAAUUUUUUUAAAGAAAAAAAAUAACAACAUUUUUAUGGUUUGUUUUGAUAAUCAUAUUUACAUAUACUCUCUAAUUUUCAAAAUGGACACAUAAAUCUUUUUUUUUUACAAAAUAUAUAUUAUUCAUAUUUUUUUUAUUUUUUUAUUAUCAUAUUUUUAUUUAUUAUAAAUGUUUAGAGCAAAUUUUUAGGUUGAAAUAUAAUAAAAAGGUAUAAUUGUUCUCUUAUUAAACACACAUACUUUUAUUAGUUUCUAUCCAUUUGUCAUCUCAAUCUCUCUCAAUUAUUCUUUAUUGCUAGCUCAAAACGCGUUGCUGUUGCAAAUUAUAGCAAAAUGACAAAUAUGGAAAAAAAGGGAAGAAAAUUAAUGCAUGAAAGACUUGGAGAAAACAACAAAAUAAGCCAACUAUGAGCUAGUUGGGUGUAUAAAUUGUUAGAUGUGUUAUAUACAAAUAGCGUAGAGCCCUCUAGUUGGUUCCAGAGACAGAAAGAGCGUGUGUGUUUUUUCACAGUUAGAGAUAUAGUUAGAAUGGGUGGUUCAAAAUCAAAAAUGAUGAUAAUGUUUAUUAUGUUAUUAAUAAUAUUUAAAAGUGGGUGGAGUGAGGGAUGUUUGGAUCACGAGAGAUUUGCUUUUUUGAGACUCAAACAUUUCUUCAAUGAUCCUCUUAAUUCUCUUUACGACUGGGUAGAUGGUGAGGGAGCUACUGAUUGUUGUCAGUGGGAAAGGGUUGAGUGCAGCAACACCACAGGCCGAGUGAUAGCACUGGACCUUUCUUAUAUAUAUUCGGGAGAGUACAGCUGGUAUCUGAAUGCUUCU
rnacentral:lncRNA from 1 species